AGCUUGGUUCUUCAACUAUUCCACUUGUUCUAAAUUAUUCCCCUAAGGAAAAUGUUUUUAAACUUAAAAGAGAAUUGAUUUCUCUGUUUUGCCGUAUGUUGGUUCACAAACAGGCCUUCUUAUGUGGAAGGCAAGGAGAGACGGAAGCAAGAAGGAGAGCACUACACAUUUUUAGCUGAUGGUUUUAACAAGCAAAGGAACAGUGCUUGUCUUGGGCAGCUGAAAGACAAGUAGAUCUCCACAGCUGCAAGAAUAGCAAGAGUUUAUAUACAAGACUUAACUGGGGUCAGUCAAGUCCAGAUAGUUUGUGCAAUAGAGUACUCUCUCAAGGCUUCAUCAUCAAAAAUUACUGUCACUGCAGAUAUGGUGGGAAGAGCAUGCAUUUCAAGAACAAAGGAGGCAAUGAGGAGCUUCUAGUUUCUUGGGUCCACCUCAGUGGUCAACUUGUGGUCACUUCUUCUCCGUGACCUCCUCUAUAACUGGAUCAUCUCUCUUUUAAGACUGAAUAUAUGUGUCUUGGUAGGAAGACUACAGAAAUAAAGUUCCAUUUUAAUCAUCUUGUUGCAAAGCAGCAUGUUCACAGAUUCAACCUUGGGGCACCAAGGGAGUAGGCAGUGAUUACUGAUGUGAAGAUGUCUCAUAUUUCCCUUCAUAAAGAUGCAUCUGUUUGCUACACUGUGUCUGAGAAUUUUUUCCUCUCAUAAUUAGGGUUUAUAUACAGAGUGCUGUUUAUUUUGUCCUCAUUGAUCAUGUUUCAUAAUAGAAUAGUUUGUCUUACCCAAUGUUUAGUUCUAGCUUAUGUACCAAUAGCAUCUCCUGAAUUAUUUUUAUAAUUUUUUAAUUAAUCAAGAUUUAAAGAGUAUUACUAGAUUUAAACUGUCAGUCCCAGAAUUUUGUUGUCAUUGAUGCUGUUGUUUUCUUUUUAGGACUGUUUAUUUAUUUAUUUUUCCUUUUAAAAAAGAUGCUGAUUUGUACUGAUAGAUUUGUCUUGCUGAUGUUAACAUUCAUUAUUUUCUAAAAAUCUGCCCUAACUAAAUUUCCAUUGUACAUGUAUAUGCCGAAUGGUAAAUGAUGCAUAUUCUCGAUGGUAAAUGAUAUGUGACAUUUACUUGUUCAAAACUUACAAUAAACUUUUGAUUUCUCUUAAGAAAAGAAAAUGGCAAGAAGAAAAAUUUUAGUUUAAAUGCUUUAAACAUUAUUUAAAAUGUUUUAUUCACAUAUAUUGGAAUUUUUAAAAUUCUAGUUG